rnacentral:rRNA from 1 species
AUUGAACGCUGGCGGCAGGCCUCACACAUGCAAGUCGAGCGGGGCGGCGGACGGGGGAGUAAUGACUAGGAAUCUGCCUGGUCGUGGGGGAUGACGUCCUGCAACGGGCGCUAAUACCGCAUACUAUCAGAUGAACCUAGGUCGGAUUAGCUAGUUGGUGUGGUAAUGGCCUACCAAGGCGACGAUCCGUAACUGGUCUGAGAGGAUGAUCAGGCACACUGGAACUGAGACACGGUCCAGACUCCUACGGGAGGCAGCAGUGGGGAAUAGUGGACAAUGGGCGCAAGCCUGAUCCAGCCAUGCCGCGUGUGUGAAGAAGGUCUUCGGAUUGUAAAGCACUUUAAGUUGGGAGGCGUUACCAACAGAAUAAGCACCGGCUAACUUCGUGCCAGCAGCCGCGGUAAUUC